rnacentral:rRNA from 1 species
GAUGAAUGCUGGCGGCGUGCCUAACACAUGCAAGUCGAGCGGCAGCGCGGGGUGCUUGCUCCCUGUCGGCGUGCGGCGCACGGCCGAGUAACGUGCAGGUAUUUGCCCCAAAGUGAGGACUAACCGCCCGAAAGGGUUGCCAAUGCCGCAUAUGGUCUUCGGAUCACAGGCUUUAUCCGCUUUGGGACUAGCCUGCGUUGGAUUGUGUUGUUGCUAGGGUAAUGGCCUACCAAGCCCACGAUCCAUAGCUGGUCUGUGAGUAUGAUCAGCCAGACUGGAACUGAGACACGAUCCAGACUCCUACGGAGCACAGCGGUGAAGAAUCUUCCACUAUGGGCGAAAGCCUGAUGGGGCAACGCCGCGUGAAGGAUGAAGGCCUUCGGGUUGUAAACUUCUUGUAUAAGUGAAGAAUAUGGCGGUAACUCAUAAAUAAGCACCGGCUAACUACGUG